GACGAACGCUGGCGGCGUGCUUAACACAUGCCAGUCGAACGGAAAGGCCCUGCUUUUGUGGGGUGCUCGAGUGGCGAACGGGUGAGUAACACGUGAGUAACCUGCCCUUGACUUUGGGAUAACUUCAGGAAACUGGGGCUAAUACCGGAUAGGAGCUCCUGCUGCAUGGGGGGGGUUGGAAAGUUUCGGCGGUUGGGGAUGGACUCGCGGCUUAUCAGCUUGUUGGUGAGGUAGUGGCUUACCAAGGCUUUGACGGGUAGCCGGCCUGGGAGGGUGAACGGCCACAUUGGGACUGAGGUACGGCCCAGACUCCUACGGGAGGCAGCAGUGGGGAAUAUUGCACAAUGGGCGGAAGCCUGAUGCAGCAACGCCGCGUGCGGAAUAACGGCCUUCGGGUUGUAAACCGCUUUGGACUGUGACGAAGCGUGAGUGACGGUAAUGGGUAAAGAAGCACCGGCAAACUACGUG
rnacentral:rRNA from 1 species